rnacentral:rRNA from 1 species
GUGAGGAAUAUUGGUCAAUGGGCGAGAGCCUGAACCAGCCAAGUCGCGUGAAGGAAGAAGGAUCUAUGGUUCGUAAACUUCUUUUGCAGGGGAAUAAAGUGCAGGACGUGUCCUGUUUUGUAUGUACCCUGAGAAUAAGGAUCGGCUAACUCCGUGCCAGCAGCCGCGGUAAUACGGAGGAUCCGAGCGUUAUCCGGAUGUAUUGGGUUUAAAGGGUGCGUAGGUGGUUUGAUAAGUCAGCGGUGAAAGUUUGCAGCUUAACUGUAAAAAUGCCGUUGAAACUGUCGGACUUGAGUGUAAAUGAGGUAGGCGGAAUGCGUGGUGUAGCGGUGAAAUGCAUAGAUAUCACGCAGAACUCCGAUUGCGAAGGCAGCUUACUAAGCUACAACUGACACUGAAGCACGAAAGCGUGGGGAUCAAACAGGAUUAGAUACCCCGGUAGUCC